UUGUGUUUUAAACUCGAACUAAUUCCUUGCACUUCCAGAAUGAAUAUUUUGACGAUGAUGAAGAUGAUUACAAUGAUGUAGAUGAGGGGAAGAUGAAGGCAUCUACUAAGAGUCUCUGGAGAAUGAUUUUUGCCCUUUGUCUGCCAGAUUUUAUGUACAGAGCAUGCGGGCAUGUGGGUUGGGAGAUUAUUUGAUUGAGCAGGGGCUAUAGGGAAAGUAUUAAUAGAGAAUAUCUGAUUUUUCUCGGAAUUCUUCAUUUGGAGAAGGCCACAGUGGAGAUCAUCAGAUGCGUUUUGGUAUUACAGAUAAUUGCUGCAUGAAAACACGAAUCGCCCACUUUUCAAAAUACGCGCACCAUUACUCUGGAUCUUGUUUCACGGGUCAUAUUGUUCCCCCCCCCCCCCCC